AUACUUCCCUGGCAGGGGAGAUGCCAUGUUCAUGAAGGUGGUUUUCCCAGGGCGAGCCUUAUCCAUUGCACUACAGAUAUGUUGACCCCUGCAAUUUCCCCAAAAUAUGGGAAACUCUACUGCAUAAUUUGUGGUAGUAGGGGACUGUGUUUGCGCUCUCCCCUA